rnacentral:lncRNA from 1 species
CAUCACUAUUGAAUUCUUCAGGAAUUCAUGGAGAAUAAAAUUGGUUGAUUUUUAAGUUUUUUGUACGAUCCUUCAUAGAUGUAUCACUACUGAAUUCUUCAGGAAUUCAUGGAGGAUAAAGAUUUGAUUUUUAAGUUCUUUAAGAACUAUGCAAUAAAUUUAAACCAUAAAAUAAUUAUCCAAGCAAUCCUUCCUUCAUAGAUUAACGUUUUUGAAUUCUUCAGGAAUUCAAAGAGAAAAUAUUAAGUUCUUCAGGAACUACGCUGUUGAAUUCUUCAGGAAUU